AUCCUAUAGGAUCCUAUAGGAAUUCCUAUAGGAAAUGCCAUUUCCUAUAGGAAUUGGAAAUGCCAUUUCCUAUAGGAAUUCCUAUAGGAUCCUAUAGGAA